rnacentral:rRNA from 1 species
GCUGACGCCUGCCCGGUGCUGGAAGGUUAAGGGGAUCUGUUAGAGUAAUCGAAGCAGUGAACUUAAGCCCCAGUAAACGGCGGCCGUAACUAUACCGGUCCUAAGGUAGCGAAAUUCCUUGUCGGGUAAGUUCCGACCCGCACGAAAGGCGUAACGAUUUGGGCACUGUCUCAACAACAGACUCGGUGAAAUUGUAAUUCCGGUGAAGAUGCCGGAUACCUGCGACAGGACGGAAAGACCCCAUGG